rnacentral:rRNA from 1 species
AACGAACGCUGGCGGCAUGCCUAACACAUGCAAGUCGAACGAGACCUUCGGGUCUAGUGGCGCACGGGUGCGUAACGCGUGGGAACCUGCCCUUAGGUUCGGAAUAAAUCCCCGAAAGGGGUGCUAAUACCGGAUAAUGUCUUCGGACCAAAGAUUUAUCGCCUUUGGAUGGGCCCGCGUUGGAUUAGCUAGUUGGUAGGGUAAAAGCCUACCAAGGCGACGAUCCAUAGCUGGUCUGAGAGGAUGAUCAGCCACACUGGGACUGAGACACGGCCCAGACUCCUACGGGAGGCAGCAGUGGGGAAUAUUGGACAAUGGGCGAAAGCCUGAUCCAGCAAUGCCGCGUGAGUGAUGAAGGCCUUAGGGUUGUAAAGCUCUUUUACCCGGGAUGAUAAUGACAGUACCGGGAGAAUAAGCUCCGGCUAACUCCGUG